CCAUUGGUGUCUCUGAGCAAUCAUUGGGUUAGAUCUGCUCUCUUCGCAAGAAGAGGGUUUCCAUACACACCGUGAACUGUGGCUUCGGCCAUCACAAACUGUUAGUAAUGAAUGUAAUAUCAUAACAAAAACAAAACUUUUAACAACGGAUCUCUUGGCUCUCGCAUCGAUGAAGAACGCAGCGAAAUGCGAUAAGUAAUGUGAAUUGCAGAAUUCAGUGAAUCAUCGAAUCUUUGAACGCACCUUGCGCCCUUUGGUAUUCCGAAGGGCAUGCCUGUUUGAGUGUCAUGAAACCUCACCCCACUUGGGUUUUUGCCUGAGCGGUGGUGUAUUGGGUGUUGCCUUGCUAAAGGCUCGCCUUAAAGACAUAAGCACCUUGGAUGUAAUACGUUUCAUCCUUCUGGGUGGCUGAUAACCCCACAUAUUCAUGAUCUGGCCUCAAAUCAGGUAGGGCUACCCGCUGAACUUAAGCAUAUCUA
rnacentral:rRNA from 1 species